UAUUAUGAUGAUAAAGAGCAUUGCUCGAAACCCAGCUCGUCGAAAAGACAGGAGUAACGCCCAUGUCUAUGAGAUAACGUUUAUUCUGAUUCU
rnacentral:snoRNA from 1 species